AGGACGAACGCUGGCGGCGUGCUUAACACAUGCAAGUCGAACGGAAAGGCCCGCUUGCGGGUACUCGAGUGGCGAACGGGUGAGUAACACGUGGGCAACCUGCCCUCAGCUUCGGGAUAACACUUGGAAACAGGUGCUAAUACCGGAUAAUAACCUUUCAUCGCAUGGUGUGGGGUUCAAAGUUUUUCGGCUGGGGAUGGGCCCGCGGCCUAUCAGCUUGUUGGUGGGGUAAUGGCCUACCAAGGCGACGACGGGUAGCCGGCCUGAGAGGGCGACCGGCCACACUGGGACUGAGACACGGCCCAGACUCCUACGGGAGGCAGCAGUGGGGAAUAUUGCGCAAUGGGCGGAAGCCUGACGCAGCGACGCCGCGUGAGGGAUGGACGGCCUUCGGGUUGUAAACCCCUUUCAGCAGGGACGAAGCGAAAGUGACGGUACCUGCAGAAGAGCGCCGGCUAACUACGCGCCAGCAGCCGC
rnacentral:rRNA from 1 species